rnacentral:rRNA from 1 species
UACAGAGGUGGCGAGCGUUGUUCGGAUUUACUGGGCGUAAAGGGCGCGUAGGCGGCCCCGUGUGUCGCGUGUGAAAUCCCCGGGCUCAACCCGGGAAGUGCGCGCGAAACUGCGGGGCUCGAGCGGAGGAGGGGAGAGCGGAAUUCAUGGUGUAGCGGUGAAAUGCGUUGAUAUCAUGAGGAACACCGGUGGCGAAGGCGGCUCUCUGGAAUCCUGCUGACGCUGAGGCGCGAAAGCCGGGGGAGCAAACAGGAUUAGAUACCCUGGUAGUCCCGGCCCUAAACGGUGCACACUGGGCGUGGGGGGUAUUCACCCCCCCCGUGCCGGAGCUAACGUGUUAAGUGUGCCGCCUGGGGAGUACGGCCGCAAGGCUAAA